rnacentral:rRNA from 1 species
GACGAACGCUGGCGGUGUGCUUAACACAUGCAAGUCGAACGGUAAGGCCCUUUCGGGGGUACACGAGUGGCGAACGGGUGAGUAACACGUGAGUAACCUGCCCUCAUCUCUGGGAUAACAGUCGGAAACGGUUGCUAAUACUGGAUAUGAGCUUGCAAGGCAUCUUGUGGGUUGGAAAGAUUUUUUUUGGUUGGGGAUGGACUCGCGGCCUAUCAGCUUGUUGGUGAGGUAGUGGCUCACCAAGGCUUCGACGGGUAGCCGGCCUGAGAGGGCGACCGGCCACAUUGGGACUGAGAUACGGCCCAAACUCCUACGGGAGGCAGCAGUGGGGAAUAUUGCACAAUGGACGGAAGUCUGAUGCAGCAACGCCGCGUGCGGGAUGACGGCCCUCGGGUUGUAAACCGCUUUCAAUUGUGACGAAGCGUUUUUGUGACGGUAGCAGUAGAAGAAGCACCGGCUAACUACGUG